rnacentral:rRNA from 1 species
UACGUAGGGUGCGAGCGUUAAUCGGAAUUACUGGGCGUAAAGCGUGUGCAGGCGGUCUGUUAAGACAGGUGUGAAAUCCCCGGGCUUAACCUGGGAAUUGCGCUUGUUACUGGCAGACUAGAGUGCGUCAGAGGGAGGUGGAAUUCCACGUGUAGCAGUGAAAUGCGUAGAGAUGUGGAGGAACACCGAUGGCGAAGGCAGCCUCCUGGGAUGACACUGACGCUCAUACACGAAAGCCAGGGGAGCAAACGGG